rnacentral:rRNA from 1 species
CCUACGGGUGGCAGCAACCGGGAAUAUUGCGCAAUGGACGAAAGUCUGACGCAGCGACGCCGCGUGCGGGAUGAAGGCCUUCGGGUCGUAAACCGCUGUGGAGAGGGAUGAAAUUUGACAGUACCUCUCUAGAAAGCACCUGCUAACUACGUGCCAGAAGCCUCGGUAAUACGUAGGGUGCAAGCGUUAUCCGGAUUUAUUGGGCGUAAAGAGUCUGUAGGCGGCAUGGCAAGUGGUGGGUUAAAGACCUAGGCUUAACUUAGGGAAAGCUCAUCAAACUGCCAAGCUAGAGCUAGUUCGGGGAUACUGGAAUUCUCAGUGGAGGGGUGAAAUCCGUUGAUAUUGAGAAGAACGCCAAAGACGAAGGUAAGUAUCUAGGACUUGGCUGACGCUCAGAGACGAAAGCUAGGGUAGCAAACUGGAUUAGAUACCCGGGUAGU